UCGGCUUAGAGUUUGAUCCUGGCUCAGAUUGAACGCUGNCGGCAUGCCUUACACAUGCAAGUCGAACGGUAGAGUAGCAAUACUCGAGAGUGGCGAACGGGUGAGUAAUAUAUCGGAACGUGCCCAGUCGUGGGGGAUAACGUAGAGAAAUUUACGCUAAUACCGCAUACGAUCUAUGGAUGAAAGCGGGGGAUCGCAAGACCUCGCGCGAUUGGAGCGGCUGAUAUCAGAUUAGGUUGUUGGUGAGGUAAAAGCUCACCAAGCCGACGAUCUGUAGCUGGUUUGAGAGAACGACCAGCCACACUGGGACUGAGACACGGCCCAGACUCCUACGGGAGGCAGCAGUGGGGAAUUUUGGACAAUGGGCGAAAGCCUGAUCCAGCAAUGCCGCGUGCAGGAAGAAGGCCUUCGGGUUGUAAACUGCUUUUGUACGGAACGAAACGGCCUUUUCUAAUA
rnacentral:rRNA from 1 species